rnacentral:lncRNA from 1 species
GAAGGUUCCUUCAUCUUCCCUCAACAAUUCUAUUAGAGCCUAAUUUUAAUGUCAUAAUCUCAUAUUUAAUUAUUCAAUCUUUUGUUUAGUGCAUUUUGGCUUCUUCAAACUCCAUAAACAUUAAAUAUUUAAGAUUUGUGGCAUCAUUAUUUCUCAUCUUUUUAUAUUCUCUAUUAUCUAAUAUAUUGGUUGAGAUUAAAAAAUAAUUACAUUACAAAAUAUUAAAAAUCUAUAUCUAU